rnacentral:rRNA from 1 species
GAUGAACGCUGGCGGUAUGCCUAACACAUGCAAGUCGUACGAGAGUUUUUAAUUCUAGUGGCGGACGGGUGAGUAACACGUGAGAAUUUACCUUUAGGAGGGGGAUAACAAUUGGAAACGAAUGCUAAUACCCCAUAUGCUUUUGAGUGAAAUGGAUUUAUAAUUAUCCGCCUAAAGAAAAGCUCGCGGCUGAUUAGCUUGUUGGUAAGGUAAGAGCUUACCAAGGCGACGAUCAGUAUCUGGUUUGAGAGGACGAUCAGACACACUGGAACUGAGACACGGUCCAGACUCCUACGGGAGGCAGCAGUGGGGAGUAUUGGUCAAUGGGUGCAAGCCUGAACCAGCCAUCCCGCGUGAAGGACGACUGCCCUAUGGGUUGUAAACUUCUUUUGUAUAGGGAUAAACCUAUCCUCGUGAGGGUAGCUGAAGGUACUAUACGAAUAAGCACCGGCUAACUCCGUG